rnacentral:rRNA from 1 species
AUUGAACGCUGGCGGCAGGCCUAACACAUGCAAGUCGAACGAGUGGCGGACGGGUGAGUAAUGUCUGGGAAACUGCCCGAUGGAGGGGGGUAACUACUGGAAACGGUAGCUAAUACCGCAUACCAUCGGAUGUGCCCAGAUGGGAUUAGCUAGUAGGUGGGGUAACGGCUCACCUAGGCGACGAUCCCUAGCUGGUCUGAGAGGAUGACCGGCCACACUGGAACUGAGACACGGUCCAGACUCCUACGGUAGGCAGCAGUGGGGAAUAUUGGACAAUGUGCGCAAUCCUGAUGCAGCCAUGCCGCGUGUAUGAAGAAGGCCUUCGGGUUGUAAGGUACUUUCAGCGAGGAGGCGUUACUCUCAGAAGAAGCACCGGCUAACUCCGUGCCAGCAGCCGCGGUAAUAC